GAUAAGUAGAGUGGCGUCCGGGUGAGUAACACGUAGGUAAUCUACCUUUGGGUGGGGAAUAACGCAGGGAAACUUGCGCUAAUACCGCAUAAUGCAGCGGCACCACAUGGUGACAGUUGUUAAAGCGGGGGAUUUUCGGACCUCGCGCCUAAAGAGGAGCCUGCGGCAGAUUAGCUAGUUGGUAGGGUAAUGGCUUACCAAGGCGACGAUCUGUAGCCGGCCUGAGAGGGCGGUCGGCCACACUGACACUGACAUACGGGUCAGACUCCUACGGGAGGCAGCAGUCGGGAAUUUUGGGCAAUGGGCGAAAGCCUGACCCAGCAACGCCGCGUGAAGGAUGAAAUCCUUCGGGAUGUAAACUUCGCAAGAAUGGGAAGAAUUAGUAGGGGCUAAUACCCUCUAUGAUGACGGUACCAUUUGUAAGCUCCGGCUAACUCCGUGCCAGCAGCCGCGGUAAUACGGGGGGAGCAAGCGUUGUUCGGAUUUACUGGGCGUAAAGGGCGCGUAGGCGGUCAGCACAAGUCAGUUGUGAAAUCUC
rnacentral:rRNA from 1 species